GACAAUCAAAGAUGUUUAGAGAGCGAGAAUUUCAAUCCCAGUCUCAUUUAUGGUCUGAAUGAAGCACAGCUAGAUAUCCUGGGACAGCGCAGGUGGAAGGUGCAUCGUACAAUAUGGGGAAAGCUGAAGAAGGAGCGCUGGUGUUCAGGUCCAAGGCUGAAGAGCUGCUUCCUGUCUAUUGCACCUCUCUUGUCAUGGCUGCCACAAUACUCGCUCAGGAAAACCGCUAUUGGAGUUCUGAUAUCAGGAAUAAGUGUGGGAAUCAUGCACCUGCCACAAGGGAUGGCUAAUGCUUUGCUGGCUGCAAUUCCUCCAGUGUUUGGUCUAUAUUCGUCCUUCUACCCUAUUCUCAUUUACUUCAUAUUUGGAACAUCUAGACACAUCUCUG